rnacentral:tRNA from 1 species
GGCAUGCAGUUCGGCGAAACGCUGCGCCUGCAAGGUGUAGUCGGCGCCUGCCUCGGCGGCGCCGUUCAUGGCGGCGGCAGGGCC